GUUUCUGUAGUGUAGUGGUUAUUACAUUCACCUAACACGCGAAAGGUCCCUGGUUCAUCACCAGGCAGAAACA
rnacentral:tRNA from 1 species